rnacentral:rRNA from 1 species
CCCCUAGUAACUGCGAGUGAAGCGGGAAAAGCUCAAAUUUGAAAUCUGACGGUUCCGCCGUCCGAGUUGUAUUCUGGAGAAGCGUUUUCCGUGCCGGACCGUGUACAAGUCCCUUGGAACAGGGCGUCGUAGAGGGUGAGAAUCCCGUCUUUGACACGGACCACCGGUGCUAUGUGAUGCGCUCUCGAAGAGUCGAGUUGUUUGGGAAUGCAGCUCAAAAUGGGUGGUAAAUUCCAUCUAAAGCUAAAUAUUGGCGAGAGACCGAUAGCGAACAAGUACCGUGAGGGAAAGAUGAAAAGCACUUUGGAAAGAGAGUAAAACAGUACGUGAAAUUGUUGAAAGGGAAACGCUUGAAGUCAGUCGCGUCUGCCGGAACUCAGCCUUGCUUCUGCUUGGUGCACUUUCCGGCCCGACGGGCCAGCAUCGGUUUUGGGCGGCGGACACUGGCGUGGGGAAGGUGGCAGCUCCGGCUGUGUUAUAGCCCCUCGUCGCAAACGUCGUCCGGGACCGAGGAAUCCGGCGCAAGCCUGGGAUGCUGGCGUAAUGGCUUUAAACGACCCGUCUUGAAACACGGACCAAGGAGUGCUACGUGCUCGCGAGUGUUUGGGUGGAAAACCCGGACGCGCAAUGAAAGUGAAAGUCGAUACCCCUCGCGGGGGCACCGACGCCCGAGCCCGAUGUUUUCGGAGGGCCUUGCGGUAGAGCGAGUGCGUUGCGACCCGAAAGAUGGUGAACUAUUCCUGAGGAGGGCGAAGCCAGAGGAAACUCUGGUGGAGGCUCGUAGCGGUUCUGACGUGCAAAUCGAUCGCAGGACUUGGG